rnacentral:tRNA from 1 species
CGGCGUGUAGCUCAGUAGUAGAGCACCGGGCUUAGGACCCGGCGGGCGCAGGGGCAGAACCUGCCGCGCCGG